rnacentral:lncRNA from 1 species
GUUUUAAAUUCAAAAACUGUUUUUGAAAUGAGUGAUAAAAAUAUUGUCAACUCAUACUUUGUCAACCAACUUUGUUAUCCUUAUUUGUAGGUGUAGCACCACUCUUUGAAAUUUAUCAAUGUCACCACCAAAAAGACCCCCUUAGUCUUAGAUACAUUCAUAGUCAUAGAAGAGGGGAUAAGGGUUCAGUAAAAGGUUAAAUGUCUACUCGAACGCAGAACCAGAACCCAAUGCAAGGCAACAACGUUGCAAAUCUCGAAGAAGAAGUGGAGCAGAUAGCCCAGAAAGUGCUUGCGUACAGAACUACACUUCCAGAUCAGCUUAACUCGACGCUGGCUUCUCUUUUCUCUUCUUGACGACCCAUUAUUCUCUCGACCAGUUUGUCCGAAGACGAAUCUAAACUGGGACCCGAAUCGAAGGCAGGUCACAAUCUAGGUGCGUCUGCAAAUUUGAAUUUUGUUUUUACCAAUAUCUCUGCUGUGUAUUGUCGCUCUUAGGGUUUGUUGGAUAAAGGUAUCUUGUUCAACUUUGGAAAUAAUUUUUCAAAAAAUUUAAUUAUAGCUUAUUUUAUGUGGCUCUGUUUUUAUAAGAAGAUAAUAUUUUUUUGCUGUAACAUGAAAAUUUUCCUUUUUAUUCUCUGGUAAAUUUAGAUACAGGUGAAAAUGUGAGAUUAUAAUUGCCCUAAAUUUCUGGGCACAUCCUCAACUAAAAUUUUGAUAGAUUUUAAAAGAUUAUAAAUCCUAAUGAAUUUCGAGAAUUUAAAUAAAUUUUCUCAAAUUUCAUAAGAAUCUCAUCAAAUAUAAUGAAAUUUCAAACGAUUUGAUUAUCUGUAUUUUUAAAGACUGAAAUUCAUUCAAAUCUUUCUAAAUCCCAUUAUUAAUAAAAUCUUUCUAAAUCCACUAAUUAUUGAAAAUAUUUAAAUUUUAAAGGAUUUUGUAGAAUUUCAUUAAGAUCUUAAUUGGGAACAUCUAAAUUGAAAUUUAUUAAAAUCUCAAUUGAGAAUACCUAAAUUUAGAAAUUAUCUUUCAUAAUCUCAAUUAAAGACACCCCUCUUCAUUUGACUCUUAAAAUUCAUAUAACCUUAUGUGGGCAUUAAGAGUAACUUACCCAUAGUUGUAAUAAAUCCUAGCAACUUUUGUAGAAGCCCCAUAAAAUUUUGAAAUUAGGCUCAUGUUUUUAUGCGAUGAUCUAGCAUUACGAGUUUAGCUUAUAAAUGAACCUGAUGCUCAGCCCACAUAAGAUAUGAAAGUCCAAUACUAGUUCGACAUGUCUUAAAUAAUUUUGAUAUCAUGCAAGUUCACAAGCAAUCAUGUAAAUUUUCUAUAAAAUAUAAAAAAAAUUUAAACAAAGGAGGACGGGAUAUAAUGUUUUCCAAAGAUUGGACUUGACAAUGAAAAUUUAUUUUUGUGUAGUAAACAUUUUCAUAACUAGAUUUGCUUAUUUUCAAAGGGACCAAAUUAUAAAUUUAAAAAAUGAAUAGUAAAAUAGGAUUUGUAAGUUUCUAAUUGGAGACCAAUAUUGUUAUUUCAUUAUUUUGCUAAGUAAAUAAAUUAUAUGGACCAUGGGUAAAAUAAUGUUAAUAUUGAUAAUAAUAAUUUAAAUUUAAAUAUAAUUUUGUAUAUACACACACAUACACAAGAAUAUAAAUAUGGGAGAAAACGUUUGUAUUAAAUGGUGAAUAAUUAAGACAUUAAACCCCCACCUAUAAUGAAAGAAAUGAAAUAGCAAUUAACCAUUUUCAAGACCCUUUUUGGAGUCAAUGGCUGCCAAACGUUUCUGGUAAACAAAAACAAAAAUUGGGAUUGAUUUUUUCAUUUCCUGCAAGUUAUUUAUAUUCUUUCUAAUAUAUACAUAUAUAUCUCAUUAAUUAGAAUGAAACCUACAAUUUAAUCCCAAAACACACACUCGUAUAACAUAAGGAAUGAAACCUACAAUUAACCCAUUUAACCAAUUUUAAAUUUCCUUUAAUUGGUAUGGAUAAUACCACUAGUUUUUUUUAGACAAAAUAAGAAUUUAGCCUUCUCAUUUUCUCCAAAUCAUUUCUAUCCCAUUUCUACACACACACACACACACACAAAAGUUUCACCAAAAAAUAAAAAAAAAUAAAAAAAUCAAUGAAAAGGAUUUUCAAAAGAAAGAAAAACGUAAGAGAGGAGCAAAAUUUUAAAGCUUUGGGAACCGUCGAGGAACAAUAUUCACCGUCCAAUUUCAUCCAUUUCAAAACUUCAAAUUAAGGUAGGUAGAGGUGCAAGUGAUUAUUUCAUUUUUAAAUUUUGAUUUUUCAUUUAAAGUUUGAAUGAAUUGGUACCUUUGUGUACAGUGCUUUAGCACUACUAUAUUUUAAAUAAUUAUUCUCCGACUUUACAUGUUAUGAUAAUUUUAUUAGAAAUUGAAUUUUGUCAAAAAUCCAUCUAUAUGUGACGAUCUGAAUCUAUAGUUCAAAUUUUCUAAUUUGAUAACGAAAUGCACCGAUAAUAUCUAUUGAGUUUCAAGCUCUUUCCCUUCCUAUAGGUUCAUUGAAUGUCUUGGGGGCUGUGGAUGGUGGUAGAUAAAGAUGCAACGAGCUGUGGAAAAGUCGGUGACUUAAUGUUUUUAAUUCGGUUAUGAAACAAUAUAUAUAUAUAUAUAUAUAUAUAUGUGGUACUAUUCUAUGAACAUUUAAAUGGAUAAGUUAUUAUUAAAAGUAGAUAUGUGUUAUAGAAAUUAACUUAGAGGUCACGUUACCACGAAAAAAAAAAGUUAUCGGUUUACUAUUGCUAUUUGUUAAAAAUUCCAGCAUUUGCCUUGAACUUAAAAAUUCACAACUCAAUUGUUACUUGGAAUUUUUGAACAAAACUAGUGUUGUUUGAUAGUCUAAUAAGUUAUUUACUGAAUAAACUUGGAAUCAUGUCAAUUCGAUGUCGGUAAAAUUUUAUGUCACUUUUAAGUAAACUGAGUGUUGAUUUUUUCUGAAAAUUUUAGCUUUUGUCCUUGACUUUAAAAAUUCAUAACUCAAUCAUUACUUGGGAUAUUUGUAUGAAACCAAUGGGAUUUGAUAGUCUCAUGGAUUAGCAACUGAACAAAGUUAAAAUCAUGUCGAUCCGAUAUCUGUAGUAUUUUAUAUGUCACUUUAAGUAAACUGCGUUGGGUUACCUUCCAACCCAAAUAGCUACGAGGCUUUGAAAAAUAUUUUAAUACCUUAUACAUUGUUGAUGAAAGCUUAUUUUUAAAUAUGUCAUUAUAUGGUGUUUUCUACUAUACGUUCAUACUUCAUGAAGUUUCGAUGCAAACGAAUUUAUUUUGACAAUUGUCGCUUGAGAUAGAAAUCAAAGCAACAACAUUUAUUUUUAAUAUUGGUAAGUGUGUUUUUACACACUUACUCAAGCCACAAAACAUGACUAUUUCCUGAUAAAUACAGUGAAAUAUAGCUUAGUUCUAUUAGAUCUUGUUUUGUAUGACGACAUUGAUGGAUAUGACGGAAUUCAAGAGAAAAGAUGUGAAAAAUGGCCAAAAUGAAAGAAAAUGAAAGUUCAGGGACUAAAGUGUAAAUAAUCAAAGGUUGAACCAAAAGGCAAAUCAAGAACACAAAAGAGUUAAGUUUCAACUCGAGGAUAAUACGAGAUGAGCAAAGGAAGAGAAUGAAGAAAAAGGGCCAAAAAGAAGAAAAAUGAAAGCUUAGGGGCCAAAGCACAAUUAUCCAAAAGAUGACCCGAAGAAGGAAUUGACGACUUGAAUGAGCUUAACACCAAUUGGAUGUUAUCAUGGAUUGAUGGAAUGAGAAAAAAGAGGACAAGAGGUCAAAAUUGGAGUAAAUCAAAUUCGGGGACUAAAUUGGUACAAUCGGGAAAUUUGCACUACUAUGUGACCGCAUAGUAAAAACACCAUGAGGCUGCAUUCACCCCAGCAGAUAUUUCAAGCGCCUAAACUAAUUUAAUUAUGCGGUCACAUCGGUCAUUCGGGGACCGAAAUUCUUUAGUUUAUUGUUUUAGUUAAAACUCUUGUGAAACUUCAUUGGGAUGCGAGAUAUAAAACCUAAAACUGUCAAAUUAGAGGCAGAACGCCUGGAGAAGAAAACGAACUCAGAUUGGAGAGGAUUUUUCAUGACAAUCACGAAGAGCAACGCGGGUAUCAACAAGAUUACAAGCCAAUUCAUAUACUGGUGAUGUCGUUUCUUAUAACUAUUAUGAUUUUGUUCUUUUCUCCAUGUUAGGCUAGGUUUUCAUGUACUAUGAUAUCGAGAACUUCGUGAUGUAAAUUUUAAUUUCUUAUUUUUGCAAAUUUGACAUCGAAACACGUUUCUUGAAUUUUGAAUGAUUUAUAUACAAACAAUUGCUUCAAUAAUUAUGUGCACGUAAUUAUAUGAAUGUGAUGACUUAUUUCAUGCAUUUGAGAGAAGGGGAAUAAGUUCGACAUGGUAUAAGUCAUCGUAGGGUCUGAUAGGGGAUAGAGAUAUACCGCUAUGCCUUGUGUAAAUCUUUAAGUGCUUAUGAUACUACAUGCAUUCUUGUAUACUUGUAUCCGUCAUAGAGAUAUAGGCUGGUGAGAUAUGAGAAUAGGUUCAACAUUACUCGAGAAAGAUUGUUGGAUAGAUUUAGGAGCAUUGAUUCUUCAAAAUAUCAACGUAUUGUCAAUUUAUGAAACUAAGGUUAAAAGUGGACGUUGCGUAGGGAUUCGUGAUCCUAGUGCGAUUUAUAUUCAUUGAUUUCAUCAAUUUUGCAUUCAAAUUCACUUGAGUCAUACAUAUUUUCAUAUUGGAUUAAAAUUAGGGUUAAGUCAAGUUAUUAUACAUCUUGUUUGGCAAUUUGGUGUCGAUGAAGGUAAAUUUAGAAAGAAUUAAACUACUUAAUCCCUGUGGGACGAUAUUCGGAUUCAAAAUUUUCACUUUAUUACUUGUCACGAACCGUAUACUUGCAGGUUCAAAACAAAAGAAAAUAUUUCUUGAAUAAAUUUUUAGCACCGUUGCUGGGGAUUGAGCAUUCGUUUAAUCUCAUUUACAUUAGCACUAAUUUGAACGUUAAUCUUGGCAUUCUUUUAUUUUAUUUUCAUUUUUUAUUUGCUUUAUUAUAGUAUCUAAGUGCUACUACAAAUUUUUUCUCGCAAAUUUGCAUGCUGAGAUCUAUUUGAGGAGACCUAAUUCUAGCCAAUUUAGAAAUAGAGCGAACUUUUCAUCGAUUGCAGAUAGAAACUUGGGAAGCACAACAACGAAUGGCUAAUGUGCAGAACAAUCCUUUGAUGCCAACGAAGAAGGGGCAGUGGAUGAAGGCAACAUGCUUGAAGGAGAUUUCAUGAACCCGCAGAUAAUUAAAAGCCAAUCAAGCAUUGUGUAUCCACCGUUUGGGCAGCUUAACUUCCAGUUGAAGACCAAAGUGAUACAACUGUUUCAAAAUGGACAUCAGUUUUACAACAAAGCUAAAGAAAACCCACACACACACGUCUCGCGAUUCUUGGAGAUGUGCCAAUACUUCAACUAUCAGAGAAUCCCAGACGAUACUAUCAAAUUGAGGCUGUUCCCAAUACAUAGUGCGCAAGGCAAUAGAAUGGCCGAACUCCCAACCAAUCGCCAACAUUACUAUAUGGAAUGAUCUAAGACAGAAAUUUUGCACCAAGUUCUUUCUGCCUGCCAAGAUAGCAAAGUUAAAGCAUGACAUAUCUGUUUUUUGUCAAGGCGAUUUAGAGAACUUUGAUGAAGCCUGGAAUAGGUUCAAAAACAUGCUGUGAAAGUGUCGUAUCAUGAGAUUAGUAAGGGACUCCAAGUCCAAUAUUUCUAACAGGAUUACUUCUAGCCUUCAAAAACAUUGUUGACUCAUUCAACGGGUCGUUGUCCACAAAAACAAUUGAUGAAGCACUGAAACUAUUUGAGACAAUGGCUACUAUAUCAGCUAUGUGGACAUCAGAACAAGCAGUUCAAAAAAGGACACCUGGGGUUUAUGAAGUGGACGCGUAUUCUGCCUUGUUUGCAAAUAUUGACUUAUUAUUUCAUAAUGUAGAAAAUAUGUCACAGUUAGCUAAUGUAGCACAGACAAAGAAGGUUAGUUGUGAAAAACGUGGAGCUGAACAUGUAAUAGCGGAACUGAACAUAUAAUAGCGGAAUGUCCAAUCUUAGUACAAGGAAUAGAGUAGGCAGAUUUUGCUCAAUAGGAACAACGCCAACCAAACAAUUCAUUUAGGGAUACAUAUAACCUGAGUUGGAAAAAGCACCCUAACUUUUCUUGGGAUAACCAAAAUCAGAUUAGGCCACAAGGAUAGUUCCAACAGCAAGAGAAAAAGCCUCAAUUGGAGGAGAUGUUUGGAAAAUUCAUGAAAGGACCAAUUAGUGCAUGGAGGCCAAUAAUCAAUUCAUGAAGAGAAAAAGCUACCUUUCAAGAUCAAAAUGUCGCCAUAAAAAAUUUGGAGACUUAAAUGGGACAGAUGGUAGUUCAUUUGAUUGGUAAAGCAUUAGGUAGUUUAUCAAGAAACACGAAAAUCAACCAAAGGAGCAUACGAAGAUAAUUACAACUCAAAAUGGGGUGCAGCUACCUGAAAUACACGUCAAAAGGUCGGGUGUAAACAGAGAAACAACACCUUUUGCAGAAAAAGAGAUUGUGGAGCAGGAUGAGUAGAUAAAGAAAUCUACCCCAACCGAUGAUUUAGGGACAUAACGGGAUAAAGCAAUAGCCACUGUCAACUUUUAUGAACCUCCCAUUCCAUUUGUAUAGAGGCUAAAAAAGUAGAAAAAAUGGAGUAGCAAUAUAAGAAGUUUCUCAAAAUUUUCAAGAAGCUCUACAUAAACAUCCUAUUUGGUGAUGCACUAGUCCAGAUGCCUAGUUACACCAAGUUCCUAAAGGACAUCCUAUCAGACAAAUGUAAGGUACGGGGACAUGAGACAAUAAUGCUAACUGAAGAAUGCAGCAUGAGAAUUCAAAAGAAACUCCUACCAAAAUUGAAGAGUGAAUUGUCCAAAUGGUCAGUAAACUUUGUAAAAGGUUUCCAAGGGGUCACUGAACUUUAAAAAUCAAUUAAAUGGUCACUGAACUUUGCAAAAAGUUUCUAGGAGAUCACCGAAUUUUAAAAAUCACCUAAAUGAUCACUGAAUUUUGCAAAAGGUUUCCCAGAGAUCAUUGAAUCACUGAAUUCAGUGACCCCUGGGAAACUUUUGCAAAUUUCAGUGACCUCAUGGAAAUCGUUUGCAAAGUUCAGUGAUCACGUAGAAAUCUUUUACAAAGUUCAGUGACCAUUUAGGUGAUUUUUAAAGUUCAAUGACCCUUUGAAAACUUUUUGCAAAGUUCAGUGAUCAUUUGUGUAAUUCAUUCAAAAUUGACAGAUCCAGGAGUUUUACUGUCCCUUGCACUAUUGGUGAAGUGUAUUUUGAUAAAGCUCUAUGUAACCUUGGUAUAAGUAUGAAUUUAAUGCCUUUGUCUGUUUUCAGAAAACUUGGAUUGGGAGUGGCCAAGGCUACCACUGUGACAUUGUAGUUAGCUGACGGAUCCUUGACACAUCCACGAGGGAUAAUCGAAGAUGUGCUUAUCAAAGUGGAAAAUUUUAUUUUCCCUACUGAUUUUCUCAUUUUGGAUAUGGAGGAAGACAAAGAUAUUCCAAUUAUAUUGGGCAUACCGUUCUUGAUCACCGGUAGAGUUCUAAUUGAUGUUUAUAAAGGACAAUUGAUUUUUAAGCUCGGAGAAGAGUAGAUUUCUUUUAAUUCUUCAAGGCUAUAAAGCUACCUCCAGAGUCGGUUAGCUACUUUCAGAUCGAUGUGAUUGAAAAGAUGGUUCAAGAUUCAUUCUUACUACACAAUCCAUCAAAUGCUUGCGAGGUUUGAAUUGCACACUCUCAAACAUCACAUUUCGAUUCUCUAGAGAUUGAAACAUGUGCAAGAUUUUUGGAGACCAACCCACCUUACACAUGUAGAAGGAACUUUGAGGAGCUUGGAGCAGGACCCAUAAAGCCAUUACCAUCCAUUUAGCAGCCGCCUACACUGGAACUCAAGCAACUGUCGUCACAUCUCAAAUAUAUCUAUUUGGGAAAGUUUUGUACAUUCUCGAUCAUUAUCUCGAACACAGUCAGUGAAGUGAAGAAAGAGAAGCUGUUUAGGAUACUCAGGGAGAAUAAAUAAGUAAUUGGAUGGACCAUAGCAGAUUUCAAAGGGAUCAGCCCUUCAUUGUUUAUGCAUAAGAUUCUCAUAAAGGAGAAUUUUCGCCCAAGCAUAGAGGGUCAAAGGAGGCUGAAUCCUAAUAUGAAAAAAGUAGCCAGGGCAAAGGUACUCAAGCUUUUAAUUACAGGCAUCAUAUAUCCGGCAUGGAGUAGCCCAGUUCAGGUCGUACCAAAGAAAGGUGGAAUCACGAUACUACCAAAGGACAAGAAUGAGCUAAUUUCUACCAGAACAGUGACGGGAUGGAGUGUUUGCAUUGAUUAUCGCAAACUCAAUGUAGCUACAAUGAAAGAUCAUUUUUUCCUUCCGUUUAUUGAUUAGAUGUUGAAGAGAUUGGCUGGCCAUUCAUAUUACUACUUCAUCCAUGGGUACUCAGGGUACAAUCAGAUACCAGUGGCUCCAGAUGAUCAAGAAAAGACCACCUUCACUUACCCCUAUGGUACAUUUGCUUACCCUUGGAUGCAAUUUGGUCUUUGUAACGUCCCUGCUACAUUUCAUAGGUACAUGAUGACAAUUUUCUUAGACAUUGUAGAAAAGUUCAGAGAUAUUGAUGGAUAACUUCUCAAUCUUUGGAUCUUCGUUUGACGAGUGCUUAGAGCACUUGAAUUUGGUCUUACAGAGAUGCAGGGAAACUAAUUUAGUAUUGAAUUGGGAAAAAUGUCACUUCAUGGUACAGGAGAGGAUUGUACUGGGACACCGAGUAUCAACAAAGGAAAUCGAGGUGGACGACGCAAAGAUUCAAGUAAUUGAAAAGCUAUUGCCACCUACAUCAGUUAAGGGUGUUAGUAGCUUUCUGGGACAUGUUGGGUUUUACAGACGAUUCAUCAAGGAUUCUUCAAAGAUUACAAAGCCAUUAUGCAACUUAUUGAUGAAGAAUGUGUGCUUGAUAGCUUUCAACACCUUGAAGGAAAACUUCACUUCAACACUGGUAAUUGCAACACCAAACUGAGAAAUACCGUUUGAGCUAAUGUGUGAUGCCAGUGAUCAUGCUGUGGGGACUGUAUUGGGACAGAAGAAAAAUAAAAUCUUUCAUGUGAUCUAUUAUGCAAGCAAAACCCUAAAUGACGCACAAAUUAAUUAUGCAACUGUAGAGAAUAAGCUAUUAGCAGUGGUUUAUGCCUUUAGCAAAUUCAGGUCGUAUCUUGUUAGCUCCAAAGUCAUAGUUUACACAUAUCACACCACACUAAAGUACUUGAUGAUAAAGAAGACAUCAAACCGAGAUUGAUCCAGUGGGUUUUACUGCUACAAGAGUUUGACAUAGAAAUCAGGGAUAAAAAGGGUAGCGAAAAUGUUGUGGUAGAUCACUUAUCUCGAGUUGACAUAGAAAUCAGGGAUAAAAAGGGCAGCGAAAAUGUUGUGGUAGAUCACUUAUCUCGAGUGAAGCUUGCAGAACCUGAAAGGUCAGUACACAUUAACGAGAUCUUCCCAAAUGAGCAGAUAUUCGGUGUGGAAGGAGCACCGUGGUACAUUGAUAUUGUCAAUUAUUUGGUCAAAUUCAUCUUUCCACCAGAUUACUCUAGUCACCAGAGGAAGAAAUUCUUUACAGAGUUAAAAUAUUAGUUCUAGGAGGAUGCUAUUCUCUACGAGCGAGGGGCAGAUCAGAUUAUUCGACGGUGUGUGCCUAAAGAAGAAGCGCCUUAAAUUAUGAAAUAUUGUCAUUCAUUUACAUAUACGGGGCACUUUAGAGCUUCAAAUACAGCACUCAAGGUUUUACAGUCGGGGUUCUACUAUCCUACAUUGUUCAGGGAUGCCUUUGAAUUUGUGAAGAGGUGUGAUAUAUGUCAACGCACUGGAAAUAUGUUAAAGAGGAAUGAAAUGCCGUUAAAUAGUAUCUUGGCGGUGGAGAUAUUUGAUGUUUGGGGAAUCGACUUUAUGAGACCUUUCCCUCCUUUGUUCUCCAAUCAAUACAUUCUGGUAGCAGUUGACUGUGUAUCCAAGUGGGUGGAGGCAACUGCAUUACAAACCAACGAUGUUAAGAUGGUAAUUGGGUUCCUAAAGAAAUACAUCUUCACCUGCUAUGGCUUGUUAAGGUGGUAAUUGGGUUCCUAAAAAAAUACAUCUUCACCCGCUAUGACACACUACGGGCUAUAAUCAGUGAUGGAGGUAAGCACUUUUGCAAUCGCCAGUUUGAGCAUCUCUUGAGUAAAUAUGGCGUCAAGUAUCAAAUAGCUACUCCCUAUCAUCCCCAAACCAGCGGGCAAGUUGAAGUCUCCAAUCGGCAAUUCAAGAGAAUACUUGAGGUCGUAGUAAGUUCUUCGUGGAAAGACUGGUUUAAGAAGUUGGAUGAUGCAUUGUGGGCUUACAAAACAGCAUUUAAAACACCCAUAGGCAUGUCCCCAUUCUGUCUUGUUUUUUAGAAUGCAUGCCACCUGCCACUUGAGUUAGAGCACCACGUAUAUUGGGCAAUGAAAAAGUUGAAUGUAGAUCUGAAGACGGUGAAAAACGUGUGCUACAGCUUAACGAGUUGGAUGAGUUCAGAAUGGAAGCAUUUGAGAAUUCAAAACUCUACAAGGAACACAUCAAAAAGUGGCAUGAUUCACAUAUUCAGAGGUAAAAGUUUGAAGUGGGUUAGAAAAUGCUAUUGUAUAACUUUAGACUCAAGCUUUUCCCAGGAAAAUUGAAGUCAAGGUAGUUAGGUCCUUAUACCAUUACGAAGAUGCUUUUUUUAUAACAUAAAUAUUGUUAAGAGCCCUUCGGUGUGAAAACAAAAAAGUUUGUCACGCUGAACUAGACUCCCGAUAGAUAAGAGAAAUCGGAAAUACCUUUUAUCUCAUACUACUCUCUCGAUACAUAAUUGAAUCUUUUGAAAAAAAACAAGACAAAAAUUUUGCAUAUCGAAUUCGAAGUGCCAUGCUAUUAUUACUUAAUAUUCAUAUGGUGAAGGCAUAGUCUUCUUUUUUCUCUCAAAUAAAAAAAACCUCAUUGGCGCCAAGCGUGAGGGAAUGCUAGACGUUUGGUAAUUUCUCCUCCAACCAAGAUAAAAGAUGCCAUUGAUGCGGCUAAUCCCAUAUUGUAUGGACAUCUGGUCGCACAAAUUGCAUAGUAUCGUACCAAAUGGAGCCAUUGAGAUUAGCCAUGAAAGCAAAGGAACUUUCACGGUCAAUGGACAAAGGCUGAAGCAUUACUAGAGUGGAGAAUUUUCCAAGGAAAAGUCCACCGUCCAUCUCAAAAUAGUAGAAAGAAGCAGAUAUGGAAGAGUCGAGCUAUCCACUAUAAAGUAGCUCUGGAUGGGAGACAACCCAUCGUGUUCUUUUAAUUUAUUUUUCUUUUUGUAUUAGUUUAGGAAUUUUUCAAUUUCUAGCAUGGUUGAUAGCUGUAGGUCAUCAGUCAUCCAUAUAGGUCAUACAGAGUUGAAACAUGGUCUACACUAGUCCCUGUGCAUUGAGCGCAAGUCAUGAGGUUUAAAUUCUUGUUUUGGUAGUUAAUUGUGAGUCUCACACAUUUUGAGGCAAAUAGAGCCGUCUAAAAAUUUUUCAAGGUUAAGGUAUGAUUUUAAUCAUAAAAUUGAUUUUGAAACUGAGUUAUGGUCUACAUUUACCCCCGUUGGCUAAAAAGGUGUUUAGGUUAAGUUAUGGGCAAUAGAAGGUUAGGUCAACAUCACAAUUGGAAAAUCGAGAUCAAUUUAUUUUAUUUUAUUUUGGGAAAAGGUCAAAUUUGCACAUUCCUUCAAGUCUAUACACUUAUCACAACAAUUUUAGUACGUGGGCAUGCAUUUAAAAAUAAUAAUAAAAAAAUAAAAUAAAAUAAAAUAAAAAAACAUUGGUUCAGACUUUUGUCUAUGCGACGGCGUAGACAUAAUGUCCAUGUGGCCGCAUGGGCAGCAACCCAGAAUUGAAGGGAGGCCAAGUUUAUUCUAUGUGACCGCAUGGAUUAACACCAUGUGGCUGCAUGGAAAAAACUGGUCACGGGUACACAUUACCCACACAUCCUUAACACAAAACACGCACUCAGCCACUCCUCUUCGUCCCUCCUCUCCCACGAUCAAACACUCACACACAUACAUCUCACGAAAAACACACCACACGGCAUUGGUUAAACUAUCAAACGACAUUCAUUCACUAAAGAAUGCAAAAGUCCAUCUAUCUCCUAAGGAGUUCAAGGUAUGAAAAUAAAUCGCUUAUCUUUUGCUAUACCACUUUGUUAUGUGAGAUGAAAAGUGAUGACUUGAAGGAGAUUGGGGUUAAUUGUAUUGUGAUUGGGUAAUUGAAUAUGGAAUUGUGAGGACUAGGGAUUAACAUAAACCACCGUCUUUCUAAUCUAAGAAAAAAAUCGGCUUGCUUUCAAUGUAUUCGAUGAAAUGCCUAAGAGUGCUAUGUUUGUUGAGAAUCAUGCAAUUGCUAUGUGUGACAUUUGAAUUAGGUUGCAUGUCGUGACAAAUCCCCACAGAAUUUGAUAUGGAAAACAUAAAAACCCUAAAUUGCACACGGUUAUGACACCUCACCUCAUCCAAUUGGCCUGAUAAGUUGACAACCGAAACGACGUCCAAAUGACCCAAAAUUUGAAUAUGUGCUAGAGUAACUUGAAUACUUUCAUAUGCUUGGAGAUUGUCUGUGAAGAUUUUGAUGUUUCUCGAUGGUGCCCUGGGGUGAAAGUUCUGGGUUGACUAUGGGUCCUAAUUGAGCAAAUUGCACGUUUAAGUUAAGUUUUAUUGGUGUUUAAUAUUUUCGUGAUACGAACUCUAUUUUGAGACAUAUUUGAUGCAUUUUGCACACCAACUUUGUACACUUGCACCUUGAAGCAAGUUUUGGGGGUUAUGUUCUUAUAUAUGUUCCUUCAUUUCUCUUCACUAGCCAUCUAUACUUGGUGGUCUAAUACGCUAUUAUGCACUUUUGUAGGAUGUCGCCCAAAAGAAUAUCCAAGGGAAAAGAAAAGGUGGGAAUCGCAUCGGGCACCGCACGCACCAGAGAGCCCGAAGGGAGCUAAGGAGACUUCUCCCUCCCGAGAUUGUAACCCACUUGUUGAACAUUGUUAGCCAUUGGACAACACUAUUAGAGAGGCUCGUUAAGUUGGAUGAUUUUCCUAGUUUUGAGAUAGUCAACUUGGUCCAAAUUUAUGGUUGGGAGAAAGAGGUUGAAUGACCUUAUCUAGUCUAUGGAAACUUAGUCAAGGAGUUCUAUAAAAACUUCAACACCGAGAUCGAUACUCCUGGGCCAGAACAUUUGCACCAGACGUGGGUUAGGGAAAAAUUGAUCAUGUUCUUACCAGAGGUCAUCCAUGACUAUUAUCAGCUGAGUUUAAACAAUGUGGUCCCCAUAUCGGGUAAUUUCAAUUGGANGAAUAGGGCCUUCUAAUGAG